rnacentral:rRNA from 1 species
AACGAACGCUGGCGGCAGGCCUAACACAUGCAAGUCGAACGCCCCGCAAGGGGAGUGGCGCACGGGUGAGUAACGCGUGGGAACCUGUCCCGCGGUACGGCACAACCCAGGGAAACUUGGGCUAAUACCGUAUACGCACUAUGGUGGAAAGAAUUUCGCCGUGGGAGGGGCCCGCGUAGGAUUAGCUAGUUGGCGGGGUAACGGCCCACCAAGGCAUCGAUCCUUAGCUGGUCUGAGAGGAUGAUCAGCCACACUGGGACUGAGACACGGCCCAGACUCCUACGGGAGGCAGCAGUGGGGAAUAUUGGACAAUGGGCGCAAGCCUGAUCCAGCAAUGCCGCGUGCAGGAAGAAGGCCUUCGGGUUGUAAACUGCUUUUGUACGGAGCGAAAAGGCUCUCUCUAAUACAGGGGGCUCAUGACGGUACCGUAAGAAUAAGCACCGGCUAACUACGUGCCAGCAGCCGCGGUAACAC